rnacentral:rRNA from 1 species
CCUACGGGAGGCAGCAGUGGGGAAUAUUGGACAAUGGGCGAAAGCCUGAUCCAGCCAUGCCGCGUGUGUGAAGAAGGCCUUCGGGUUGUAAAGCACUUUCAGUGGGGAAGAAAGCCUUGGGGCUAAUACCCUCGAGGAAGGACAUCACCCACAGAAGAAGCACCGGCUAACUCCGUGCCAGCAGCCGCGGUAAUACGGAGGGUGCGAGCGUUAAUCGGAAUUACUGGGCGUAAAGCGCGGGUAGGCGGUCUGAUAAGCCGGUUGUGAAAGCCCCGGGCUCAACCUGGGAACGGCAUCCGGAACUGUCAGGCUAGAGUGCAGGAGAGGAAGGUAGAAUUCCCGGUGUAGCGGUGAAAUGCGUAGAGAUCGGGAGGAAUACCAGUGGCGAAGGCGGCCUUCUGGACUGACACUGACGCUGAGGUGCGAAAGCGUGGGUAGCAAACAGGAUUAGAUACCCUAGUAGUC